CCUGAGUCCCACAGGUGGGCUCAGCCCCUCUCCUUACCGAAUGUAGCCAACUUGAGGCCGGUGCAGAAGCUGCCAGCGAUAGGAGGUCUUGUCCCGCCAGCCCACAUUUCGUGGGUCUGUCCACAGCAGUCGUACCUGAUCAGGGGUGUGGCCAGUAUGCCACAGGGCAUUUCGGAGGUGCUCACCUGGGCCAGACACUGAUGUCACUGCCUAGGAGACAUUGGCAAAGACAGUGAGUCAACUGCAGAACUGGAGUGAGGGGAGACAACAGGUCGGUAAGUGCAGGUGGGAAAGGGAUUCAAGGCGGUCAUGAAAAUGCCCUGGGGCCCCAGAGAGCCGGCCUCCAAGCCAGAUGUCUGGGUAAGAGGGUUCCCAGUCAAGCAGUGGGGGAGGCCCUGGGGCUGCAGAGGAGAGCUUUGGGAAAGGGCCCUGGGUUGCGGAAUCUGAGCAGCUGGGGACCUUGAGCUGCAGCCCGGGCUGGGCAACCGCCCGGAAGGGUGUAGCCUGCCAGUAGGUCUGCUCGGUCUGCUUCCACAUGACUACGUAGAAGCGGCCACUGUCUUGAUAACUGAAGAGAAAGCCUGCGUAGUCAUCAUCAGUCACUGUGUUCACAUGGAAGGUGCCUUCAAAGUCCACACCAUUGAAGGCCGUGUAUCCUGGGGUGGGGGUGGGAUAAAGGUCAGGGGCAGCAAAGCUACUGGCGGCCCAUCAUGGGGUAAAGUUGGGAAGGGAUGCCUGCUAUGUAUGUGGCCAGCUUGUGCCACCGCCUUCUCUCUCGCCACUUUGCCCAUUCUCCCUGUCUGUUUCCUCCCCUACCCUCUGCCCCUAUAGGAUUCCUCCAUUUGGAAGUGAUUGAACUGCAUAUCCCUUACAUACCAACUGCCAAGCCAGGGUCACUGUUCAUGGUCUGAACGAUUUCCAUGCCCUGGGGUUGUAUAGUAAAGAAAAAGCUGUGAUGCAGGUGUGCUAUCCCUCCCAGGCCCCCCGCCCCAGUAGCCCUGUCUGAUAGCACCUGCCCAGCCCACUGCCCCGAGUUACCUGGUUGAGCACAACCCAGUUUGGGUCAAUCUGAGCAUCACCCUCAGGAUCCAGGACGACGGUCUGAUAGGCCCGAAAAUCCGUAAGCGUUACCUCUGCACUUUCAGGACACACAUCCAGGGGGUCGACCACCGCAUCAUUGUCAAAGUCAUCCUCACACACAUCACCAACGCCAUUGCCUGGGCAGAGUGAGGCUGGGUGCUCAGGAAGGCCCUGGCCACUGCCAUUAGGCAACAAUACCAUCUGUUGGGCCUGCAUUCCUGACAUCUUUCCCCACCUUGCCCUUCCUCACUUCCCAACAGGGCUUGCUGCCUCCACCUGGGCAAAGGCAACACCAGUCUAACGUGCUCUGGGUCCACAGGCUUACCAUCUGAGUCCUUCUGAUUGGGAUUGGGUACCAGGCGGCAGUUAUCAGGACCAGGAGGCACAUAAUCUGGGAUGCCAUCAUUGUCAUCAUCCCCAUCACACUCAUCUCCAAGUCCAUCGUUAUCAGAGUCCAGCUGGGAGCUAUUUGGCAGCUGUGGGCAGUUGUCCUUGGUGUCCUGAUGCCCAUCCCCAUCGCUAAUCAGAAGAACAGGUUGGUGAAAGUCCUGAACUUUGUCUCCCCACCCAGAGGACAACUGGCCAGGAAAUCUGCCUGUUUCUUGUCUCACCCUCUAGUCCACACUCUGCCUAACGCUACGCCCUACCUCACAUUCCUAUUGACAUCUGCUGCAGAUCACACCCUUGUGAUGGACAAACUGCUCAGUACAGUCCCACCCACCCAGCCUCCUUGUCCUGGGCACGAGGUUUUUGCCUCCCUGAUUUGGAGUAUUGGGCCCUUACUAGAGAGCUGCCAGAUGAGGUAAGUGAGGCAUGGAGAGGACAGGAGGAGGGGAGAGGAGCUUCAAGGGGCAGGGCAGUCUGGGAGUCACCUCAACAUUCUUGAUCCCAUCCCCAUCAGCAUCAUCAUCACACUGGUCCCCCACACCAUCAUUAUCAGCAUCUUCCUGCCCAGAGUUGGGUGUCAAAAGGCAGUUGUCCUAAAGUUCAGGGGAAGAGGAUGGAUGAGUUCUGGCCUGACCCAGCUUGGGCUCCCCACUACGCCCCCUUGCCCGCCUGCUCCCUGCACCUGUUUGCAGUGUUUGUUGUUGUCCAUGCAGGGCAGUGCUUGGUCUGGGUAGCCAUCGAUGUCUGUGUCAGUCCCACACACGUUCCCAUUCCCAGCCCAGCCCACGUUACACUAGGGCAACACAAAGGGUAGGAGCUAGCAGUUUGGUCUGGCUCCCCUCCUCCCUCUAUUUUCCCUGCUUCAGGUCCUAUUCUCCCCACCAAACAGUUCCUGGGCCCAGGCCCACCUCUCUCCUAUGAAGGCCCCCAACCCAGGCCCUAAACAUAGCCCUACUCCUUUCCCCAGACCCUCCCUUUUCCUUCCACGCCUGAAGCCUAGCUCACCUGGCAGGACACUGCACCAUUGCGUUCAAAGAGACAGUGAGCAUGGAUGUGGCAGGGGCUGUGGGCUGGGCUGUGGCAGGUCCGGGCUGGGAGGCAGCCCUGGCUCUGGUUGCCCAGGAAACCCAGGCGGCAGGGACCACACUUGAAAGAGCCCUAAGAGUGGAGAGGCAGCAUCUUAGGAAGGAGGGUGAGCCCACCAGGCACCCAGGACCAGCACUGCUCCACCUGCGGGGUGUGGGCUGGGCACUCAAUUAUGCCAGGCAUAUCAGUAUCUCCUUUAGGUUCUCAUGACAACCUUUCAGGGUGGAUAACAGCCUCAGUUUUCAGAUGAGGAAGCUGAGGCUCAGAAAAGUUAAAUAACCUGCCAAAGAGCUAGCAAGAGGCAAACCAGUAUUCCAAACCAAGUCCAUGUGAACACCUAAUCUGUGUAGUGCCCUGGGGAGGAGGAAAGGCAGCAGGAAAUUUGAAGGUAAGAAGGGGCGGGGGUUGGGGUUUUAGCAUUCCCACCACCCCAGAAUACACUCAGGAUAUUCAGCUCACCACAGUGUUGGUGCAGAUGGAGUUUGGGUCACAGCCACCAUUGUUGCCAUCGUUGCAUUCAUCGAUGUCAUUGCAGACCUGAAGGGGCAGACUUUGGGUGGAACCAGACCUAUGGUGGGUCUCCUCAGAUACAGCAGAGGACACUGGUAUGGCCUUAUCUGUGAACAUCAACAUUAAGCCCAGACCCAAAGCCGAUGCAAAGCCAUCCAUGUCCCAUUCAUCACAAGGGUCCCAUGUCCAACCCAGAAGCCCCUGGCCUCUACAAGGCCAAGAUCCCUUGUCCACACACACUACCCAGUCUGACCUGUUUGCUGGCCCGGGCAUAGUCAAUGCCCACACCAGACACCUGUGUGCCCUUGUACCCUCGAGGACAGGCCUCACAGUGGAAGCCGGGCAUGGUGUUGAUGCAGCUGGAGCCCGGGAAACAGGGGUCAGCGUGAGCACACUGGGGACCAGAUGAGAAGGCAGAGGUCAGGCCGCCCUCUGGGAAACUCAGGUCCCUGCCUGUGAUCCAGGAACCAUUGCUCCAGGUCUCCCCUUUGUGCAGCUCUCCCCACACAACUGCCUUGUGCUCCUGGUCCCCACCCCGCUUCCCUCGGGGUUCCCUCUCUCCCUCCCCAUGCCACUGGUCGCCAUCUCAAGCCCCCCUGCAGUUUCCCCAGCUCCUUCCCUGUAUGGCCUUCAGUCUUUGCCCCAGGCCUUCUGUCUCUCCCAUCUUGCAUUUCUCUUGCCUCUGACCUCUCCUAAACUCCAGAUUCCUCUCCUCCGGACCAGCAUUUAUCCCACCCUCUUGGGCGCCUCCUGACAUCCUCACCCCAGUUUUCUGUACCCUUCUGGGCUCUGCCCUCCCCCACCUCAUUGAUGUCACUGCAGUGGGUGCCGUUGCCCUGCAGGCCAGGGGGGCAGGGCCCACAGCGGUAGCCUGGGUACUCGUACACUUCCAUGCAGUCCACACCUCGGAAGCAGGGAUUGGGGCUGCAGUGGGAACGCUGCUCAUGGAAGCCUGAGGGGUGGACACAGUCAGAGCUACCCGGUGGUCACUAUUUAAGCCACCAGAAGGGAAAGCCAAAGCCAUUGGGUGGGGAACGUGGCACAGUCAUGUGGAGCCUCCCCUGCUCUCCCACUCACCGCACACCUGACACUCCAUAAUGGUGUUUCGGAUCAGGGACAUUUCCUUCACCUGGAGAAGGAUGGGGAGGAGUCAGCACUUGACAUCUGCCACCCUACCCCAGAAUCAGUGCCACCCUUCGCCAGCCCACCCAAACCUGGUCUCGUAUAUCAUCCCGCAGCUCCACCAGGAUCUGGUUGAAGAGGGUGAGUUGGGUGACCAGCGCCUUGGUCUGCUCCCCUGUCGGGACCCAGGGUGUGAGGGGCUCAGUACUGGAGCACCAGUCCUGGGCCCUCCAUGGGCAAUAAGCCAGUACCUGCCACGGCUGCCCACCCCUGCCUUUAACCCUACUACAUUCCUGACUGAAGAGGACUUAGUUUCAGGCAGCUGCCAGAGCCUGGGGCCUCCUCCCCGCUCCCCGCUUCCGCUUCAGUGUGGCCUACUCACCUAGAAUGGAGUGCAGUGCAUUGGUCACUGGAGAGGAGAAGAAAACAUAGUCAGAGGGGUGAGGUGAAGUGAAGAGAGGCCUGGUUGGUGAGAAGAAGGAAGGAAGGUGAGGACAGGGACAGGGCUGGAGCCCCAGAAUAAAGAUGGGGUGCUGGAUGCUGGGAGGGCAGAGCUGGCAGACAAGCAGUGCCAGCUCCUUCUAUGGGGCAAAAGGCCCUCUAAGGGAGUUGCUUCACAGGAAGUUAAAACCCAAAUCCUCCUGGUUCCUAGGCAUGGUAGUAGCAGAAGGGAUGGACCCAAAGCAGGGCCAGGGCCCCAGUAUAUCCC
rnacentral:lncRNA from 1 species